GGGGACAUAGUUUAAUUGGUAAAACUACGAUUUUGCAUAUCGUUGUUCCAGGUCCGAAUCCUGGUUUCUCCA
rnacentral:tRNA from 1 species